rnacentral:lncRNA from 1 species
UUUUUUUUUUUUUUUUUUUAGUUAGCCAGGAAUGGUGGCAUGCAUUUGAAGUCCAAGCUACUUGGGAGGCUAAGGUGGGACGAUCAUUUGAGCCUUGGGGAGGUGGGGUCAAGGCUACAGUGAGCCAUGAUUGGGCCACUGUACUCCAGCCUGAUCCUGUCUCUAAAUCCAACUAUCAAUUCCUAAGGUGUUACAGGCUGAAUUGUGUCUCCCCUCACUCCCAGAUUCAUAUAUUGAAGUCCUAGGAAUGUGACUGUAUUUGGAGCUAGGGUAUUUAAAUAGGUAAAGUUAAAUGAGCUUAUUGAAGCGGGCCCUAAUCCAACAUGACUUAUAAGAAGAAGAGAUAAGGACACAGGCCCAGGGGUAAGACCACAUGAAGACAUCACAAGAUGACAGCCAUCUACAAGCCAAGAAGAAAGGCCUUCAGAAGGGCCAAUAUCUUGAGUGUGGACUUCCAGCUUCCAGAAUUGUGAAGAAAUAAACUUCCGUUAAUUCUUCCAGCCUAUGGUAUUUGUUUUGGCAGCCCUAGAAAACUAAUACAAAAGUUAUAUAAAGAAUAGAGGAACACAUUAAACUACAGCACAGGGACACAAUAAACCAAAAGCAGACUGUGGGAAAGUCUCUAUAUUAAACAAAGAGAUUUCUUCUUCAAAUAAAUUGCAAGGAGAGUGAGGACAUUGGAAGGAAAAAGCUUAUGCAUUAAAAUAUACCUAAAAACUAUAUUUUUAAAAACAAUGGCAAUAUAAAUGUAAUUGGAUCCUGAUUCAAACUGUAUAUUUUUUAAAGUUAUGAUAUUUAAGACAAUAGAAAUUUGAUCAUGACUAGACAUUUCAUAAUAUUAAGAAAGCAUCAUUUAAAGGAAAAAGGAGUAUGAAAAUUAAAGUCCAGGGCCCCUACAAAAGAGGAUUCUAACAGGAGACACCUUACACUAUAAACUAGGACCAAAAGAGGCUACAACCUUGAGGUAGCCUCAAGGGGUAAUCCAUAGAUACAACAGGCCUCAUACAGAUUGACAGUCUGAGUUCAAAUUCACUAGGAAAUCCAUGGAAUCGCAAGAUUUAAAGUUGGUUUUCUGGACUGAUAGUAGCCACAGUUACCUGACACAGCAAAUAUAAAGCUUCAGUAGAAGAAAGUACAUUCAUUAUAUACCUAAAAUUAUCUCUACAAAUAAUUUUCAAACACAGUAUUAUGUCUGUAAUUUAUUCCUUCCAGUGGGUUCUUGGUCUCGCUGACUUCAAGAAUGAAGCCAUGGACCCUUAUGGUGAGUGUUACAGUUCUUAAAGAUGGUGUGUC